rnacentral:rRNA from 1 species
UAGGGAAUCUUCCGCAAUGGGCGAAAGCCUGACGGAGCAACGCCGCGUGAGUGAUGAAGGUCUUCGGAUCGUAAAACUCUGUUAUUGGGAAGAACAAAUGUGUAAGUAACUAUGCACGUCUUGACGGUACCUAAUCAGAAAGCCACGGCUAACUACGUGCCAGCAGCCGCGGUAAUACGUAGGUGGCAAGCGUUAUCCGGAAUUAUUGGGCGUAAAGCGCGCGUAGGCGGUUUUUUAAGUCUGAUGUGAAAGCCCACGGCUCAACCGUGGAGGGUCAUUGGAAACUGGAAAACUUGAGUGCAGAAGAGGAAAGUGGAAUUCCAUGUGUAGCGGUGAAAUGCGCAGAGAUAUGGAGGAACACCAGUGGCGAAGGCGACUUUCUGGUCUGUAACUGACGCUGAUGUGCGAAAGCGUGGGGAUCAAACAGG